UGCCAGCAGCCGCGGUAAUACUCGCGGUCCAAGUCGCAGCCAUUUUUAUUGGGCCUAAAGCAUCCGUAGCCGGCUCUGUAAGUUUUCGGUUAAAUCUGUACGCUCAACGUACAGGCUGCCGGGAAUACUGCAGAGCUAGGGAGUGGGAGAGGUAGACGGUACUCGGUAGGAAGGGGUAAAAUCCUUUGAUCUAUUGAUGACCACCUGUGGCGAAGGCGGUCUACCAGAACACGUCCGACGGUGAGGGAUGAAAGCUGGGGGAGCAAACCGGAUUAGAUA
rnacentral:rRNA from 1 species